GAUGAGUUACUACUAUCGUUACUAAAAUGUUAUUCCGAUGGGAACUAGGUAUGCAACCAACUUUACAAGCACUCGUAUUAGAGGUUGCAGUUGAUAGACGAUAAAGUUGGUAAUAUCUGGUAGAUUAGAGUCUAGCAGUUGGCAAUGACGAUAUCCGGCAGGGGUGUAUGUCAUAUCGGCCAUAGCGGCUGGCACUUCACUUGAAUUUUCGUUCUUGUCCGAUCAAGAAGUCCUCCGGUGGCCAUUGUAAGAAUUUACCUUUUGGUUGAAAUAAGUUAUAAGAAGAUUAAUUUACGUUGGAGGAAGUUUUUAUUUUUUUUGUUUGGGGUUGUGAAGAGUUUUUGGUUCCAAUAUUUUUUGAAGAAAACAAUGGCCACUGGAGGGAGACUAUAACAAAAUUUAAGUCACAUUUGGAUGCUUCAUUUAUUUAUGGAAUAAACAAUCAUUUUGGUAUUAUUUUGGGUUUGGAUUGGAAGAGUUUUGGAUGUUUUUUUUUCUCGUUUCUGGAAUAGACACUAAGUUCUAUCGACACUAGCAAGUACCUCCUCGUCAAUACUCUGUGUUGCUGUUCCUUACCUCCCGAGGAUUGGGAAGAUCGGAGGAUACGUACCUGGCUCUCUCAUCAUCAACCUCACCAGGAUUUUGGAGAAGCCACAGGCCUACUUUUGUAGAAACGCCAGGUUUUUAUAAUAAAAUUUGAAUUUUCAAUCCUUUUAAAUAAUAGUUUUCAAUUUUCAAUUUUUUUUCAAUAACUCAAAUACAUAACCUUAAUAAUAAUAUAAAUUCACCUUCUUAAACCCUAUUAUCUUUAUAAUAUUCAAUAAUUUUUUUUUGUCAACGAAUUUUAUAUUUCAUUUUCAUGAUUGUAUCAGGUAUUUAAAAUAAUCUCAGGAUUGUAAACUAUCUGGGACGAUACUGUGCACACUAUCGAAGGGUUUAUUUCCUACUCAAUAAUAUUUAUUCCAUUCACCAGAUAUUGUCAGGUUGUCACUUCCGAUCAGAUACGGGAUUGUCGGCCAAUCUUGUAUUCUACAGUAAUAAUUAGUUUGUACAUGCAUAUUUAGAUCAAAUCACUUCCUUAGUAGAAUAAAUUCAUUACAUAUAUUAGUUUUUUCAUACUGUAAAACCUGCAUUAUCGACAGGAGUGUACUACCAUAGUACGUCGGAUAUUUAGCUAGUGUAUAAAAUUGUAUAUAGGGUUUAUAGGUAUUUUUUUUUAUUAAAUGUGGUUGUACAUA